rnacentral:rRNA from 1 species
CCUACGGGAGGCAGCAGUGAGGAAUAUUGGUCAAUGGGCGCGAGCCUGAACCAGCCAAGUAGCGUGAAGGAUGACUGCUCUACGGGUUGUAAACUUCUUUUAUAUGGGAAUAAAGUGAGGCACGUGUGCCUCUUUGCGUGUACUUUAUGAAUAAGGAUCGGCUAACUCCGUGCCAGCAGCCGCGGUAAUACGGAGGAUGCGAGCGUUGUCCGGAUUUAUUGGGUGUAAAGGGAGCGUAGAUGGGUUGUUAAGUCAGUUGUGAAAGUUUGGGGCUCAACCGGAAAAGUGCAAUUGAUACUGGAAGACUUGAGUACAGUUGAGGUAGGCGGAAUUCGUGGUGUAGCGGUGAAAUGCUUAGAUAUCACGAAGAACCCCGAUUGCGAAGGCAGCUUACUAAACUGUAACUGACACUGAUGCACGAAAGUGUGGGGAUCAAACAGGAUUAGAUACCCGAGUAGUC